UGCUUUGUUACAAGCUGAAGGCCUCAUGACUGUGUGUAGCGCUAGACUGAGCAUCCAAAAGAACCUGGCUUCUAGUAGAUGGAGAUACCGCAUGACUGCGUGUCAAGUCUGGGGUGAAGGAAGAACUGGCCUACCGACAGACGGAGGCGCUAGACUGACCAACGGACAUGACCUCAACAAGAUGGUGCAUACAGAGGAUUAAACGUGCAGAAGACACCUGAACCAAGAGGGUUCGGUGCAUGGACAAGGAACAAAACCAAACCUGAACAGGCAAGGGAAAGAAGGCCAAAGACUGAGUGGCAGUAUUGUAAUGACCUGUGCUUCACUGUGUCACUGUAUCCACCACUGUACUGUAAAUACUGUACGUGUGCACUGAACUACUGGAUUGUGUGCUUCUUGUUACACUCCCCACACCCCAUCACAGAGCAUACCAUAUUAAUGUUUAAAAUGGGCAGAGUUAAUUAAAGACUGAUGGUUACUCUUUGAAAAUUAUGCAACAGCAUGUGUUUGAAUCGGUUCAUUCACAUGAAACACUGUACAGAAUAUCUGAGGAAUUCCCUUUUAUCUAGUCCAAAAACCUGUUUAUAGCUUUGCGGAAUUGACAGACCGUGCUUAUUAGGGUGUAUUCAGGACCAAUUUUUUUUUUUUUUUUUU